UACGUAGGGUGCGAGCGUUGUCCGGAAUUAUUGGGCGUAAAGGGCUCGUAGGCGGUUUGUCACGUCGGGAGUGAAAACUCAGGGCUUAACCCUGAGCCUGCUUCCGAUACGGGCAGACUAGAGGUAUGCAGGGGAGAACGGAAUUCCUGGUGUAGCGGUGAAAUGCGCAGAUAUCAGGAGGAACACCGGUGGCGAAGGCGGUUCUCUGGGCAUUACCUGACGCUGAGGAGCGAAAGCGUGGGGAGCGAACAGG
rnacentral:rRNA from 1 species